rnacentral:rRNA from 1 species
UACAGAGGAUGCAAGCGUUAUCCGGAAUUACUGGGCGUAAAGGGCGCGUAGGCGGCCAGGUAGGUCUGCUGUGAAAACUCGAGGCUCAACCUCGAGACGUCGGCGGAAACCAUCUGGCUAGAGUCCGGAAGAGGAGAGUGGAAUUCCUGGUGUAGCGGUGAAAUGCGCAGAUAUCAGGAAGAACACCCGGGGGGAAGGCGGCUUUCUGGGACGGGACUGACGCUGAGACGCGGAAGCGUGGGGAGCGAACAGG